rnacentral:rRNA from 1 species
GACGAACGCUGGCGGCGUGCCUAAUACAUGCAAGUCGAGCGAAGUUUUUCUGGUGCUUGCACCGGAAAAACUUAGCGGCGAACGGGUGAGUAACACGUAAAGAACCUGCCUCAUAGACUGGGACAACUAUUGGAAACGAUAGCUAAUACCGGAUAAUAGCAUUAACUGCAUGGUUGAUGUUUAAAAGUUGGUUUUGCUAACACUAUGAGAUGGCUUUGCGGUGCAUUAGCUAGUUGGUGGGGUAAAGGCCUACCAAGGCGACGAUGCAUAGCCGACCUGAGAGGGUGAUCGGCCACACUGGGACUGAGACACGGCCCAGACUCCUACGGGAGGCAGCAGUAGGGAAUCUUCCGCAAUGGGCGAAAGCUUGACGGAGCAACGCCGCGUGAGUGAAGAAGGAUUUCGGUUCGUAAAGCUCUGUUGUUAGGGAAGAAUGAUUGUGUAGUAACUAUACACAGUAGAGACGGUACCUAACCAGAAAGCCACGGCUAACUACGUG